UGAAUCUCAAAAAAAAAUAGAUAAAGCCUUGAAGAUAUGUUUCGGUAAAGUCUUUAAAGUAAGGAUAAAAUCAUGAAAUAUUAACCAAACACAAACUCAAUCUGAUGUUGAUCAAUGACAACAUAUUAUCAAGCAACGGGAGGAGAAAAGAAAAGAAGGAUAUAUGGUCUUGGAGCUCAAGCAAUAUUAUUUUAUGGACCAAAUUUUUAUGUCGCUUCUAUGUCUGAUGCUUCUGGUUCAGUACAACGUCCACAUGCUCAAACAAUACCAAUAGAAAAUAUGGAUGAGUUAGUGGUCCGAAUGAUUCCUUAACUAACUAAUCACUUGCUUCCUAUACUUAUAGAGCAGGUACGUGGUUUGAUUUCUCUAGUCUCAUCUCAUCCAAACACUCCUACCAACUAUCCAUAACCUGUUGCACUUGUAACUCCUGCUCGAACUGCAACAAAUAUCAAUGAGUACCAUGCGUCAGUUUUGAGGAAUGAUUAUGGGUCUCUAGUCUCUUUAGUUAAUUAGUUUUGGCUAGAUUCUAUUGAAAAUGUUUUCAACUAUAUAUUUUGCUUGAAAUUUAUCAUUGGGGAUAUUUUGAACUUGGUAAUAUAAUUUUCACUAAGAUAUGUACUUUGGAUCUUGUUGAUUAUUAAUUUAUGUGUAUAAAAUUGAUUUAUGAUUA